UUCAAAUGUCCUAGUAUAAUUGCUCGACUUUAAAUUCAUGCUGUAACGGAUUUUUUCAUUGUUGAUCUAAAGACAUGACAAAGAGAAUUUCUGUAGAGUUAUGGCAGUACACUUGUCCAUAUUUAGGAGAUGUAGUCUUUAAUUGUAUAAUAUACGUAACCACCAACAAUAAAUAAUUAAGUAAAUUACCUGACGUAUUGAUCGUUAAUUAAUAUUAUGGCCCCUCCGCUGCCAUAUCAGAUAUAGAAAGGCCUACAGAGAUGCUAUCGAAUACAUCGACCUCUACCGGCCAUGGUGAGGUAAACCUCCCCGAUUUAUUCUGAUUGUGUCAACGCCCUCACAGUACCCGGGAUCGUAUUACAACGCCAGCAGUCAGAAUCUUUGAAGACAUGAGACUACGUAUUGUGAUGGUUAUGACAAUGUUUGUCUUUCACACAUUCGCUCAUGAUGGCAUUAAUGAUCAAAACAGAAUUCACAAGAGAUAUUUAGCAGAUUUAACAUUACCAUCAUUGCUAGCAAAUCUUAACCACCGAACCAUGUGUAGAAAUGUAGACUGCAAGUUCUACCAGCUAAUGAAAUAUGGUCGAAGGAAACGGGAUAUUGCUUUGUCGAAGUAUGAAAUAUGCUGUAAUCAUUGACUGUUUUAAGUUGUAUAUUACAGAAAUAAAUUGUGAUGUUUGUUAGAAAUGACUAGUUUUAUAUUCCAAUCUUGGAUGCACAAAAUGUCCACAGAAAAGUUUCUUGCUCAAACAUCAUUAUGUAUAAAAUGCCAACAGAUUAUCAAAAUGCAUAAUCUCAUUGAAAAGACAAAUUACUGGAACAAAAGCCCAUGUUCAUCUGAGUCACUCUGGCCUUUUGUUCUUUGUCAGGUUUUCCCCCUUGAGUUGAAAUACUGGUACUUGGAUUCCCUAUUGUGGACUCCCCCUACC